CACGGUCAAAAGGUAAACACGGACCGGAAAUACUAUUGGUUUACAUCCGUGUUCUUCAUGAGCUGAUCACUGACGCCAGAGUGCAGGACACACCUGUGUUAAACAGAGAACACACUCUUCAACACUGGAUGGAAACCAGCGUUUGGAGUUCACUCCCUCUGUUGGCUUUGUUUCCCCGGGGACUUCACCUCACGCGCUGACAACCCUGACAGAGAGAAUUCCAACCAGACUGGUGACCCCGCAUGACGGACGACAUCCUCCAUGCCUAUAACCAACCGAUGAGACCGAGAGGCUGAAGCAGCGAUCAGGAAUGUGAGUGCUGAAUGCACAAACUACCCCCCCACCCCACUCCCCCAUUUCCAGCAGACAGUCCUAUUUCCAGGUUAAUUUACGAGGCCUGACCUGUGAGUCGAACACUCCCACCUCCAAACCCCUCCGUUCCAGGGGUAUCUUCACCCCACUUUGAACUUCUUGGUCACCAUCGCAGCUUCCACAGAACCACAAACAUGAAAACUGAUAUUCAUGACGAAAAACUUUUGGUUUUCCUCUCGUUUUUUCCUGCUUAGGGACAAGGUCAGGGCGAGGGUAGAGACCUGUUUGUUUCUUUCCUGGGAACGUUUCAUAUCAGUCGUGAAGAUAUAAGGGAGCGGUUAACACCAGUGUGUCAUGUGUCCACGAGCCAGGGCAAGUCUAAAGUGUGGGUCUGGGGCCGAUCAUGGCACCUUGAAUUUUUUGAUGUGGUCCUUGGUUUUUACUUGAAUCUUUUUAUUUCAUGUCAUUCGGGUCGACAUUUUAAAACAAAUAUCUGUGUUGCUUCUGAUUUUCUUGGUUUUUAUAAAUAUGUUUUCUCAGACUUAAGAGUGUGUAUUUGUGUGUGCAACAUUGUUGAACCAAUUUUUUUUCUUCUCCAGUGACUUGACCCCACCUGACCUCUAAUACACUCCUGUCCUUUUUUGUACUUUUACAGACAGUGUUAAACAUUCUUUCAUCUGCCAUACUGCCAACUAUCAAGUUUUUUAUACAUUACACUCUCCCCUUCUAUGGGAACAGUUUAAAUGAGGAGUUGCAUCAAGAACUAAAACAUUAUUCUUCUGUCCUGCAGUGGCACUAAUACACUCAUCAAGUAUAUUUGCCUGGUGUGUGUGUCGAC